GUGCCUAACCCAUGCUCAUCACAGAGCUCACAUUGGAACCACUGUUAAACAGACUCUAAUGGAAAUGACUUCAUUCAGCUGGUGAACAUUUUGGAAGAUUCCAGAAAAACAUGAACAAGUGUUUGAGUGCUCUUAAGGGGAUUGUCUAAUAUCUUGGCUCCUGACUCAUCCUUAGAAGUCUUCCAGCCACCUUGUACCUAUUUCAAGCCCAAGGGCUCUUUAACGUAAAUGAGUUACUGAGCAGGUGCAAUGCAAAUUGCUUUGGCUUCCACACAGCUCCUGUCGCUUCAAGUGCGGAUGGUGUUAAUGGGACCUGGACUGGAAAAGGAUUGUUUGUGUGGGAAUCAUUCAUGGCAAAGGCAGUGACACCUCCUUCAAAACCCUGUGUCUUUCUGGCAGAGUGUUGCGGGAGACGGCCACUGGAGAGGCUGAGUCAAAUCAAUCUCCUCACCUGAGGACUUCCUAAGACCAGCGCACUGAAGGACCAGCAGCAACAACAACAAUAAUGCUAAUGCUCCCUUAUGG
rnacentral:lncRNA from 1 species